GGUCUUUUGGUAAUGGAUAAAAGAUCUGGCCUGCCCACUGAAAUUUAAAGGGCUGCAGUAUUUUGACUGUACAAAGGUAGCAUAAUCAAUAGCCUCUUAAUUAGAGGCUGGUAUGAAAGGUUAGACAGGGGUUAGCUGUCUCAGCUGUACGGGACAAAAUUUUCUUCUUUGUGAAAAGACAAAGAUAUACCAAAGGGACGAGAAGACCCUUUUAAACUUUAAUUAGCUCCGGGUAGGCCAGAGAUAUAAUCUGCUUACUUGUGAGUUAACUUUUGCUGGGGCGGCAGGUACUUAAUCCGUACCUAUUUUGUAAUAAUGAUAGCUAGCACAGGUAUGAUCCUAUUUGUUUGAUUAGAAGAAAAAGUUACUGAAGGGAUAACAGCGUAAUAUUUUUUGAGAGGCCUUAUUGACAAAAGUGUUUGCGA
rnacentral:rRNA from 1 species